UGGGGAAUAUUGCACAAUGGGCGAAAGCCUGAUGCAGCCAUGCCGCGUGUGUGAAGAAGGCCUUCGGGUUGUAAAGCACUUUCAGUAGGGAGGAAAGGGUGUUACUUAAUACGUAAUAUCUGUGACGUUACCUACAGAAGAAGGACCGGCUAACUCCGUGCCAGCAGCCGCGGUAAUACGGAGGGUCCGAGCGUUAAUCGGAAUUACUGGGCGUAAAGCGUGCGCAGGCGGUUUGUUAAGCCAGAUGUGAAAUCCCCGGGCUCAACCUGGGAAUUGCAUUUGGAACUGGCGAACUAGAGUCUUGUAGAGGGGGGUAGAAUUCCAGGUGUAGCGGUGAAAUGCGUAGAGAUCUGGAGGAAUACCGGUGGCGAAGGCGGCCCCCUGGACAAAGACUGACGCUCAUGCACGAAAGCGUGGGGAGCAAACA
rnacentral:rRNA from 1 species